GAUUUUGAUUGGUUCUGUACUGAACCUACGCAAAAUCUUAGCUGCGAUAAGCUAUACAGAAUUUAAAAGCCUACCUAAAUGUUCACACGUUUUCCGAAGCGCAGGGCAGGGGUUGUUAGUGGAGGAACCUUUUCCCAUCUAUCUUGACUUCACCUUUUUGUACCGUUUUCAACAUUAAUCAAGAUGGCCCAGUGGUUCCAGCUGCAGAAAUUAGACUCCAAGUACCUGGAGCAGGUGGACCAGCUGUAUGAUGAUACUUUCCCUAUGGAGAUCCGCCAGUACCUCAGUGCCUGGAUAGAGAGCCAUGACUGGGACACGGUGGCAGCCAGCGUUUCCCUGGCGACGGUCCGUUUCCAUGACCUCUUGGGCCAGUUGGACGACCAGUACAGCCGCUUCUCCCUGGAGAACAACUUCCUGUUGCAACACAAUGUACGCAAGAUUAAACGCAAACUGCAGGACCACUUUCAGGAGGACCCUUUGCACAUGGCCAUGACUAUAUGUAAAUGUCUGAAAGAGGAGAAGAAAAUCCUGGCCGCCUUAAAAAAAGAGGAAAACGUUUGGUCCACACAAAUCAACGUGGUGUUGGAGAAACAGAAAGAGUUGGACAACAAAGUCAAAGACCUGAGAAAUCAAGUACAGGAUGCAGAGCAGAAAAUGAAGUCACUGGAGGACCUACAGGAUGAUCAUGACUUUAAGAAGAAGGCCCUGCAAAGCCGAGUGGAACAAGAGGUAAAUGGGAUGACACCGGUGGUACAGAAAGAGAUCCGUGAAGAGGAGAUGGUCAUCAGAGCGAUGUUCAUCAAACUCAACAUAACCAGAGAGGUGGUGGUGCAUCAGAUAACUGACAUCCUGAACUUGGCCGAGCAGAUUCAGUGCACCCUGGUGAUGGAGGAGAUACCUGAGUGGAAGCACAGACAGCAGAUUGCGUGUAUCGGUGGUCCACCUAAUGCCUGCCUAGACCAGCUACAAACCUGGUUCACUGCGGUGGCAGAGGGCUUACAGCAGGUACGACAGCAGCUGAAGAAGCUUCAGGAGCUGGAACAAAAGUACACGUACGAGAACGACCCCAUCACUCAGGGCAAAAGCACUCUGGAGGAACGCGCUCUCGCCCUGUUCAAGACCCUCAUUGUCAAUUCUAUCGUGGUGGAGAGACAGCCCUGUAUGCCCACUCACCCCCAAAGACCUCUGGUGCUGAAGACUGGGGUGCAGUUCACUGUCAAAAUCAGACUGCUGGUGAAGCUUCAGGAGUUCAACUACCAGUUCAAAGUCAAAGCUCUGUUUGACAAGGACGUGACUGAGAGGAAUACAGUGAGAGGGUUCCGGAAAUUCAACAUCUUUGGAACUAAUUCUAAGGUUAUGAACAUGGAGGAGUCCAAUGGGAGCUUGGCAGCAGAAUUCAGACACCUGCAACUAAAGGAGCAAAAGGUUACAGGCAACAGAACAAACGACGGUCCUCUCAUAGUGACAGAGGAGCUCCACUCCAUCAGCUUUGAGACACAACUCACUCACCCAGGACUCCAGGUCAACCUGGAGACGACGUCCCUGCCCAUUGUGGUCAUCUCCAACAUUAGCCAGCUGCCCAGAGCCUGGGCCUCUGUCAUGUGGUACAACAUGCUGACCAGUGAGUCCAAGAAUCUGUCGUUCUUCCUGAGCCCUCCCCAGGCCACCUGGAGCCUGUUGUCGAAGGUGCUGAGCUGGCAGUUCUCCUCCGUAACCAAGCGAGGCCUCAACGACGAGCAGCUGAGCAUGCUGGGAGACAAGCUCCUGGGUCGAGAGGCUGUAGGAAAUCCUAAUGGGCUCAUCCCCUGGACAAGAUUCUGCAAGAAUGUGAAUGAGAAGAGCUUUCCAUUCUGGCUGUGGAUCGAUGGAAUCCUGGACCUGAUCAAGAGACACCUCCUGUGUUUGUGGAAUGACGGGUGUAUCAUGGGCUUUGUCAGUAAGGAGAGAGAGAAGGCCCUGCUGAAGGACAAGGAGCCUGGGACUUUCCUACUGCGUUUCAGCGAGAGCAGCCAGGAGGGUGCCGUCACCUUUACCUGGGUAGAGCACCGCAAUGACGGCGUCCAUUUCCACACGGUGGAGCCCUACACUAAGAAGGAGCUGGCCGCCGUCUCCUUCGCUGACAUCCUCCACAACUUCAAGGUGAUGGCUGCUGAGAACAUCCCUGAGAACCCUCUGGUCUACCUCUACCCCAGGAUCCCCAAAGACAGCGCCUUAGCACGCUACUACAGCCACCCCACAGAAGCUGCUGAGCCAAUGGAGUUGGAGAGUGAGUCUGAUGCUGUUUACGUUAAGAGGGAGCUUAUCUCUGUGUCUGAAUUUUGAUAUUUUCUGCUGGUUGGGCUUCUCCUCGGCCACUCCAGACUACAGGACACCAUGAUCCCCAUGAGUCCUGAAGUGUACGGAGAGCUGACCAGGAUUAUUAACCCUGCUGAGAUGGAUACUGUGAUGUGCAAAGCUUUCCCAAACUAACCUGCCCUCUUCAGGCAGCGCCCCUUGAAAGACGUGUUACCCCCCCGCACCGAACUGAUCUGAAGACAUCCCAGAAAAAGGAUGUUGAUUAAGUUGAAGAGAUUUGUUGGGUUUCCUUUGUAAAUACAACAGUCUGUCGUUUUAAUGUACAUGCAUGAGAUUUUGGGGCUUCAAGUCCAGCUGUUUGUAUUAAGGAAUGUCAUUCUGUGUGACUUGUGGGAGAGGAUAAUAUUUUGUGAAUGCAUAUCUAGUGUGUAAUAACUUCAGGUGAAAUGGUUAAGCUGUUAUACAGUGAGCUUCAAAGGUAUUGGGACAUUUUGACAUAUUUUUGUUGUUGUUUUAACUCUGUACACCAGCACCAUGGGUUUGAAAUGAUACAAUGAGAUUAAAGUGCAGUCUGUCAGCUUUAAUUCGAGGGUAUUGUCAUACAUAUCGAGGGAACCGUUUAGAAAUUACAACUCUUUUUGCACAUAGUCCCUCCAUUUUGGGGGACCAAAAGUUAAUGUGACAAAUUCCCUUACGUGAAUUUAAGUAGUGAAGUUUAGAAUUUGGUCCCAUAAUCCUAGCACGCAAUGACUCCAAGCGUGUGACUCUUCACACUUGUAUGCAUUUGCUGUUUGUUUGAUUAUUUUGUUCCCAAUAGAAAUGAAUGGUACAUGUUUAGACAUCACUGUUUUAAUUUAAGGACAAAGAGGGCUCAGACAUGCCUGAAUAGCUUUGCUUUAUUUAACCUUGUUUAUUAAAAUAAAUAUAUCAUAUAUAUAUAUGUGUAUAUAUUCCACUGCCAGGAGAAAUCGCACAUUUGCACAUCAAGUAUGCCCUAAAAUAUGAACAGAAAAGGAUAUCCGUGUUUAGCAAUACAUUCAGAACUGUCUUUAGUUGGAACUUUAGACUGGUCUGCAACUACUGGUGACACCUGACUUGAACCAUCUGUCCAUAUGAUCUACAGGGGUUCAAACUCAGGUCUCCUGCAAACCACAAUAUUGUGUUAGCCCUCUGAGCUAAAGCCUAGGCAGCAGACAAGUUAUCAGGUCACAGGCAAGGUUACCUUUCACUGAAUCACCAAUCCAUUACAACAGGCAUAGUAUAACAAUAGCAGAACCAAUGUCACAUUUUGAGACCUUUCCUGUACGUCACGGAUACGACAGUGUUAUGGAGGUGAUUGGUUGGAGGGUUCAAGUCUUGUGUUUCCCGGACUACGGGGAGUGGUGAAUGAGGUUGAAUUUCUGUGGCAACAUGUUCUGUUAUCGUUCUCAUUCUUUGGCUUUCACUUGAACAUUUUUCCAUACACAAUGUUACCGUCUCAGACGAACAGAUCUGGGGAGUUGCUGAAAACCCGGUAAUGUUGCCUUACAGAGACCAACAAGUAGUGGUAGAGAUGUUAUGUACAUAGAGGACAGGGUUUUCCAAUCCACUUGAUAUUCCAUCUGUGUAUUCAUUAUCUAUCUGGAUUAGAACGUUGCGUAAGGUUAUUGUGGUUACACUCCAUUGUGUCAAUGAAGCUGUUCUUUAUGCUACAUAGGUCUUAUGGGGAAAAUUACUACCACUGUUGUUCAUUUAUAAUUUGAUCUAUUGUACAGUAUUGCUUCAUGCGAUCUUAACAUUCGCAUCAAUUUAAAAAAUAAAAACAGGUUGUAAAUUGA